GGUUUUGUUCUUCAUGAGCAAGGUGAUUCCAGACUGAAGAAGUACCAGAGGUUCCUUGGUGUGCUUUCUGGUGAGGCUCCUCUGCCAGGCUCAGAUUUGAUGAAGUUUGUAGAAGCUGAAGGAGGUGCAAGCAACAGAGACCCUCAUCUUUACUUAACAGGAGUGAAGACAUUUGAAAUGGCUCACAGCAAUCAAACCACUUUAAGGAGCAUUCUUUUCUGAACCACACACUGGAUCCGUUGAGAAACUUUCUUCACUCUUAAUUAGCCACAGAAAUCGAGGCCAGUAAAAGAAGUAGAUCACUUAAGAGCAAGUACCAGCAGUUUCUGGAAUGUCACAAGCAGUGAUGUCAUUGUCUGUGAUGUCCCCACAGGCAUUUAUCUCCAUUUCCAAGAUUAUUUUUGAAAUUUUCCAAGUUGACUUGGAGAUUUUUCUUGACAUGCUCUAUGUCUUCCGUGUGACACAAUCAAAUGUCCAUGAUGUAAGAGUCGGCAGCGUUGAUUGCUAGAAUCUUGUGUCUGUCCAGAGGGCCUGUUAAAGGUUGUUAAAAUCCAUCUUCUGGUCAUGAAAGUAUACUGUGGCCCCACACUAAAGAAGCCAUUCAGAUGCUGUCCAAUUAGGGCCAACACUGCUGAUGCUUCAUAACCACUAUAUUAAGCAAUGUAUUCAACUAUUCCCAGAAUUAUCUGGAGUUCCAUGACCAUAAGAACUUCAUUAAGCUGCACAGCUGCCCCAAAGUUUUUCAAACAUCCUCAUUUGAUGGCAACCAUCCAUACCAGCUGUUUCUCACUAACAGGACCCUCACUCUCUGCUUUGCACAUUCCUUUCCUGUCCUAAGGAUAAAUUCUGCUUUUCGUAUAUAGGUUCAACUUCUUGUGCUUAUUCGGUGAAUUCAUCAUUUCUGGCAUACUUCUCCAGAAUCUUUACUUUCUGCCACUUUAAUAAUAUGUUCCUUUCUUGUUGCCUGUUUUCUCCCUCUUCCAAUGUCCAUCCCGUUUGCCUUUCUGAGUGAGGAUUGAUCAUCUUACCCAGGAUCCUCCUUCUUGCUUAGCUUCCUUAGGUGUACAGAUUUUAGUAUGUUUAUCCUACAUUAUAUGUCUAAAAUCCACUUAUAAGUGAGUAUAUACCAUGUGUGUCUUUCUGCUUCUGGGAUACCUCACUCAGGAUGAUCUUUUCUGGUUCCCACCAUUUGCCUGCAAAUUUCAUGAUACCACAGAGAACUAUUGAAAGAUUCUACCCAGCAAGGAAUCAAAGGAGAUGCUGACACUCAUAGCAAAACUUAGGGCAGAGUGCAGGGAAUAUUUUUUUUAAUUCUUUAUUAAUUACACUUUAUUCACUUUGUAUCCCCUCUGCAGCUCCCUCCUCCCAUCCCCUCCCAAUCCCUCUGUUACUCCACCCUCUGCAUGCAUGCCCCUCCCCAAGUCCACUGAUAGGAGAGGACUUCUUUUCCUUCCUUCUGAUCCUAGUCAAUUAGGUCUCAUCAGGAGUGGCUGCAGUGUCUUCUUCUGUUGCCUGGUAAUGCUGCUUCCCCCUCAGGGGGAGGUAAUUAAAGAGCAGGGAAUCUUAUGAAAGAAGUGGGAGAUAGAAAGACCUGGAGGGGACAGGAGCUCCACAAGGAGAGCAACAGAACCAAAAAACUGGGCCCAGUGGUCUUUUCUGAGACUGAUACUCCAACCAAGGACCAUGCAUGGAGAUACUGUAGAACCCCUGCACAGUUGUAGCCCAUGGCAACUCAGUCUCCAAGUGGGUUCUCUAGUAAGGGAACUGGGACUGUCUCUGACA